rnacentral:rRNA from 1 species
AGCUCCAAUAGCGUAUACUAAUGUUGUUGCAGUUAAAAAGCUCGUAGUCGGAUUUCAGUUUGAUUUUGGUACUUCUACCCGGAGAUCCUUAAUCAUUCUUCCUUGACAUAAACAUCUAUGUCCUUCAUUGGAUGUGGCUUGGGAGUGUCUCUUUUACUUUGAGAAAAUUAGAGUGUUCAAAGCAGGUGUCCGCCUGAAUAUUACUCUUGGAAUAAUACUAUAGGACUUUGGUUCUGCUUUGUUGGUGUUCAGAGCCAGAGUAAUGAUUGAUAGGGACGG